UACGGAGGGUGCAAGCGUUAAUCGGAAUUACUGGGCGUAAGCGUGCGCAGGCGGUUGUGCAAGACAGAUGUGAAAUCCCCGGGCUCAACCUGGGAAUUGCAUUUGUGACUGCACGGCUAGAGUGUGUCAGAGGGGGUAGAAUUCCACGUGUGAGCAGUGAAAUGCGUAGAGAUGUGGAGGAAUACCGAUGGCGAAGGCAGCCCCCUGGGAUAACACUGACGCUCAUGCACGAAGCGUGGGAGCAAACAGG
rnacentral:rRNA from 1 species